AAUCCUACGGGAGGCAGCAGUGGGGGAUAUUGCACAAUGGGGGGAACCCUGAUGCAGCGACGCCGCGUGGGUGAAGGAGCGUUUCGGCGCGUAAAGCCCUAUCGGCAGGGAAGAAGAUGACGGUAUCUGACCAAGAAGCCCCGGCUAACUACGUGCCAGCCGCCGCGGUAAUACGUAGGGGGCACGCGUUAUCCGGAUUUACUGGGUGUAAAGGGGGCCCAGACGGCAAUGCAAGCCAGGAGCGCAAGCCCGCGGCCCAACCC
rnacentral:rRNA from 1 species